CACGAACGGCAGCCCUUUUCCAUGGGAAAGAAAACUCACUCCCUCCAGGAUCCUGAGGUCAGCUGGUCAGAGGCGUUUGGCACUACAGGUGACUAAGAGGCUAACCAGCAAUCAUAGCACCUUCCAAGGCAGACUCAUUUCAGGUCUAACAUGGAUUCAUGUUGCUGUCAUCCAAAAGCUUUUCACUUAAUUUUGAAGAUGGAAAGCGUUUGGCACAGCUGAGUAUUGGCACCAGGGGGGACCAUGACCGGAUGAGUACCGGCAAUCAAGAUGAGUAUAGAUUCCAGCACAGAACCAAAUGCUACCAGAAUUGUUGUAGUAGCAAUGAAACUGUAAGCAGCCUUUGGGUUUUUGUGUUUUACAGGUGGCCUGCACUAUUUAAACUGCCAGUCCACUAUGACCAAGCCUCUUGCAGAAGGAGGUCGCAUUCAAGUGGUUUCAGAUGGAAGCUACCUUGGCAACGCUUUUGGACCCUGAGUCACUACAUGCCUUUCCAUUUUGUUUCGCCCCUUCUCCCCAUGAAUUCAGUCAUUGUUUGGCUUUUCAGGGGAGGCAUAAAUGGUGGCUAUAUUACAGCAUUUUUCUUUGUCCUCAUUUUUAGGAAGUAAAGCUGGAUAUCUGCAGUCAAGGUCAAGUGGGUAAGGAGGUCCACUGGUAUUAGGCCAAGGCCCCCUCACCAACUGGCCAACAGACCUGGUUCACCACUCUUGUGAGCCCUCUGGAAGAAUUACAGAGCUCUGUGAUGAAGCCUUUACAUUUCCCAUUUGAAGAUGCAGAUGGUUUAAAUCAGUGGCAGAGUGCCUCAUCCAGUCUGAGAGGGUUCCCCCAACAAGGAAGUAAAGCUGGAUAGCAGCAGUCAAGGUCAAGUGGGCAAGAUGGUCCACUUACCAAAUAUCCUGGCCCAGGAUGCCAGAGUCCAGGUCUCCAAGGUGGAUUUGUGUUGCUCUAUUAGGAACGGCAGGGAAUGAACAACACAGACUCUCUAGGGAGUCGAUCAGGAGAAUGUCUCGUAGUUUAUUACUUCAGCUCUGUUUUAUAGACUGAUAUGUGGAAAGUACAGAAAGAAAACUCUUAUUGGUUAGUAAACUACUACAUUACCAUCAUUGGUCAGUGGUGCACACUACCCCCUGACUUUCUCCUGCAAAGAAAACAAGAGACAGACAACAACAUCUGCAAGGCUGUUCUAUGUCUUUGAGGAUUGUUUGGAAUCCUCCCAUGAAUUUCUUGGGCUAGCUUCUCAGGCAGGACUAAGAGAGCUAUCCAGCCUGUAAUUUCUACAGGCUCUCUGUUUCAGAGUUAGACACAGAUUUGUAGUCCACAGAUUUAGAGUCCACAGAUUUGUACCUCUGCAAUUGCUGAUGCUACCAAUUUUCUGAGAAUCUACCAUUUGAUGUUGAGGAGCAGCAGCCAGAAGAUGUGUUGAAGCAUCUUGUUUAGUGUAGUGUUUCAAGUAAGGGUUGCAGUCAUUGUGUAAGCUAGAAGAUGUGUGACUGCAUGUAAGCAUGUGUUUCUGUCUGUGUCUGCUUGUGUGUGAGUGUGCAUGUGUGCUGACUGGUUCUAAUCUUUUGUUAUGAUUUUUGCCUUUCAAGUUUAAAAACUCAUUUUUAAAUUUAGAAUAAAUCCUUCCAGGGGUGAUUUUUUUUCCCCAAGUUGGGAUUUUUUUUCCUUGGUCCUGGUCAGUGUGUCGGGUGAUGUUCACUGCCAAUGUUUGGGUGUGGACCACUGUCCCAGGACCUGGGUUUUUGUCAGGCAGGACAAUUUUUUUUGGGACUCCCAGGAACCAUGUUCCUGAGGAGUGCCAAUGGCUGGGUCGUUAACGGAGUGGUUGAGAUGAGAGCGACAGUGAGUUUGUGUGACAGCUGAAGCUGGCCUCUGUGGUCAAUGAGUAUUGUGUUUUCUGCGUGCUCCUUCUGUUUUGGAUUUCCAGUAACAAUAAAACAAAAUGUAAUGAACUGUUGCUGUAUUUUA